CCUGAGCGCGCUCCAGGAGAAGACCGUGCAGCUCGGCUACAACGAGGGUUUGGAGAUACUGAAGGCGUCGCUGCAGUCCAAGACCGUCCUUACCGACGUUUUCCUUGCAAACAAGCCUCCCUGCAGCGGCAGCAACGACCCCUUGAAUUAACCCUGCAGGUUGCUCUGCUCCUCCUCUGCAUAUGUCUGCAGCUGCAAGAGUAGGCUUAACUAGGUUUGCCCUUUUGUAUGAUCAUCUGCAGGCACAACGCCUCAAUUCGUCUAGCGUGAUUUGGUUGGUCUUUUAAUCUACCAAUUAUUGCUACUCCGAUUUAGGUCGUGUGUGUUCUUCUGUUGAUACCUGGUGCCGUCAGCGGUCAGCUACCCAUAUUCUGUUGGUCCUCAAAGCUGUCAAGCAUCAAUAUUGGAUUUGCUCUUAUAGUUGGGUGGAAUUGAACCAGAUAGCUAGUGUUACUAGACCAGCUCUCUGUGUACAAUAAGGCAGCUCGCCUGCCGGCAUCCAAUGUUUCGUGCCCUUGGGAUGAAGCAUCCUCUCGAUCCAUCAGUUUAACACCAUCCAUCAAAGGAACGUACUAACAAAUAUUACUCGCUACUA